rnacentral:rRNA from 1 species
GGAUGAACGCUGGCGGCGUGCUUAACACAUGCAAGUCGAACGAAGCAUUUAGGACAGAUUACUUCGGUUUGAAGUUCUUUAUGACUGAGUGGCGGACGGGUGAGUAACGCGUGGGUAACCUGCCUUGUACUGGGGGAUAGCAGCUGGAAACGGCUGGUAAUACCGCAUAAGCGCACAAUGUUGCAUGACAUGGUGUGAAAAACUCCGGUGGUAUAAGAUGGACCCGCGUCUGAUUAGCUAGUUGGUGAGAUAACAGCCCACCAAGGCGACGAUCAGUAGCCGACCUGAGAGGGUGACCGGCCACAUUGGGACUGAGACACGGCCCAGACUCCUACGGGAGGCAGCAGUGGGGAAUAUUGCACAAUGGAGGAAACUCUGAUGCAGCGACGCCGCGUGAGUGAAGAAGUAAUUCGUUAUGUAAAGCUCUAUCAGCAGGGAAGAUAGUGACGGUACCUGACUAAGAAGCUCCGGCUAAAUACGUG